rnacentral:rRNA from 1 species
GUAGGGUGGCAAGCGUUUUCCGGAAUUAUUGGGCGUAAAGCGCGCGCAGGGCGGUCCUUUAAGUCUGAUGUGAAAGCCCACGGCUCAACCGUGGAGGGUCAUUGGAAACUGGGGGACUUGAGUACAGAAGAGGAAAGCGGAAUUCCAAGUGUAGCGGUGAAAUGCGUAGAGAUUUGGAGGAACACCAGUGGCGAAGGCGGCUUUCUGGUCUGUAACUGACGCUGAGGCGCGAAAGCGUGGGGAGCAAACAGGAUUAGAUACCCUGGUAGUCCACGCCGUAAACGAUGAGUGCUAAGUGUUAGGGGGUUUCCGCCCCUUAGUGCUGCAGCUAACGCAUUAAGCACUCCGCCUGGGGAGUACGGCCGCAAGGCUG